UGAGAUCAAUCUUGUUCUCUGGGGUGCUCGAGCCCAUGAGUUUGAGGUGGAAGAAAUCCGUGCUGCAAGUGAAUCUGAAGCUGUCAUUGCUAUCUUUGUAGGAACACUGCCAAAACAAUACCGAGGUGUUAAAGGACUGAGUGGUACUUCUGCCUGCCGCUGGUAUAUUGAUGAGGACUUGCCAGAGAUGAAUGCCUUCCGUGCUAGCCUGGUUCAAGGACUUCCUGCUAUCGCUUCUCACGUUACAGGAGACCAGGCACUUGUUCCAGCACCUGUUCGUGAACCUCCUGUUGAAUUGAGUGUUCGGGAGUUGCUUGCCCUUGAUUCGUUUGACAAUAUGAAGAAACAGUUCAUCGUUAAAGUUACUAUCACAAAGUUAGGCUCUGACAACCUUUGGUGGUUUCUCUCAUGUCGGGCAUGCCAUAAGACAUCAUACAUCUCUGGGAGACAGUACCGUUGCUCAGACUAUGGCUGUUCUUCUGUUACAGCAGAUCCCUCGUACUGUCUGUGUACCUCUGGAAGCGAUGGCGCAGAUGAGGUGGAAUUUAUAUUCUUUGAUAGAGCAGCAAAAAGCAUCGUUGGCAAGCCACUCAUGACUUUGAUUUAUCGCAAGUACCCGGGUUUUACAACUGCACUUAAUCUUGCUCAGAUAGGAGGUGCCGAUGUAGGUUUUCCAGUUGAAAUUUCCCGACUUGUUACCCAGAAAUACAGGCUUGUCGUUUCUAUCUCCACUAAAAGCUUUCAGCCUACAAGCACCCAGCUGUAGUUCCAAGUUGGUAGAAUUGAUGAAACCUUUAAGCCUGAGCUUGUGCCCUUUGCAAUUGUCGGUGUGUCAUGCGUCUCUGGGGCAUCAUCUUCUACUGAGGGCUCAGACAUAGCAGUGUCCAUACCCACCUCUUUUGCUACAGGAUCAUCUACACUUGUUGUGCUGCCUCCUGAUGAGUUGAACACUCCUAUAUCUGCAUUCAAAGGAAAAGGACAGACUGUUAUGCCGAAAACUCCCAGUAAAUCACCGUGCCCAAAAAGUGCUCGCCGCAAACUCUGUCUUGGACCCUCUAAAUCUAAGGAUGCUGAGAUUUCUACCUCUGCUACCAAGGUGGCCACCGAAACUGAAGAGGCUCCCAUUGCUGGAAAUGUUGUUCAGCCUGCACCCAUGCCAGAUGUUAAACAGGGAACUGAAGGUGCAGUUGCUGAGGAUCCAAAGGCCACCCUUCUUGACCCCUCUAAGCUCAAAAGAACAAACAAUACUGGCAAGGGGGCUGGCAUACCAAAGAAACCAAAGCAGUAGUUCUUCCAUGGAUCAGUCCUUCCAUGGCGUAAUCUAGAUAUGUACAUACGGGUAUCUUCUAUGUUCUGCUUGCUUGUCAAUGAAAGUCUAUGUUGGAGAGGUGCCCUGUUGAACAAAUCUUAUCAGCUCUACUGCACCAUAACAACAGCCUGGCUAUCGGGUUUGAAGAUCAUCAAGUCAACGUACUUUUGGGUGUGAACUGGAUUUAUUUUGUGCAACUUUAUAAGGCAGGGCUUUCACACACGUGAAACUGUGUCAAGCCACUGUCAUGACAAUUCCUCUAUUUAAGUCCUGGCCAAGUCAAGUAUCAUGCGUUGUAAAUAUCGCCGUUAGCUCCUCCUGUCUUAUCUCCUUGUGACAAUUUCUACCAAUUGUAAAUGCCGCUCGGUCAUGUUCCGUACUCUAA